rnacentral:rRNA from 1 species
UACAGAGGGUGCAAGCGUUGUCCGGAUUUAUUGGGCGUAAAGAGUUCGUAGGUUUUUUCCUAAGUCAUUUUUCAAAUACCAGGGCUCAACCUUGGGAAGGGGAAUGAUACUGGGAGAAUUGAAAAGUUUCGGGGCUACUGGAACUAACGGUGUAGAAGUGAAAUUCGUUGAUAUCGUUAGGAACACCGAGGGCGAAGGCGGGUAGCUAGGAACAUUUUGACACUGAGGGACGAAAGCUAGGGGAGCGAAA